AAUGAACGCUGGCGGCGUGCCUAACACAUGCAAGUCGAGCGAGAAAGUUCCCUUCGGGGGGCGAGUAAAGCGGCGCACGGGUGAGUAACGCGUGGGUAACCUGCCCUGGAGUGGGGGAUAACCAGCCGAAAGGCUGACUAAUCCCGCAUACGACCAGCAGACACAAGUCUGCUGGGGAAAGAUGGCCUCUGCUUGCAAGCUAUCGCUCCUGGAUGGGCCCGCGCUGGAUUAGCUAGUUGGUGAGGUAACGGCUCACCAAGGCUGCGAUCCAUAGCUGGUUUGAGAGGACGACCAGCCACACUGGAACUGAGACACGGUCCAGACUCCUACGGGAGGCAGCAGUGAGGAAUAUUGCGCAAUGGGGGAAACCCUGACGCAGCGACGCCGUGUGAGCGAUGAAGGCCUUCGGGUUGUAAAGCUCUGUCAGAGGGAAAGAAAGGGUCGGUGGAAUAAUACCCGCCGGCAUUGACGGUACCCUCAGAGGAAGCACCGGCUAACUCCGUGCCAGCAGCCGCGGUAAUACGGAGGGUGCAAGUGUUAUUCGGAAUCACUGGGCGUAAAGAGCACGUAGGCGGAUUGGUAAGUCAGAUGUGAAAUCCCGGAGCUCAACUCCGGAACUGCAUUUGAUACUGCCAGUCUUGAGUGAGGUAGAGGGGGGUGGAAUUCCCGGUGUAGAGGUGAAAUGCGUAGAGAUCACACAGAAUAUCGAUUGCGAAGGCAGCUCACAAAGCCAAGAUUGACGCUGAGGCACGAAAGUGUGGGGAUCAAACA
rnacentral:rRNA from 1 species